UCAGAGAUGGGAAUCGAUUUCAUUUAGAAUUGGAGAAGGAGACACCUUCUUGUACUCAUGAUAAAAAAGAGGGCUCCGUCGCUGGGCUCUAUAUCCCUCCUCCUACGCUCAGAAUCUGAAAUUGCUCCCUUGUGCGCAGGAAUAGGGUUCAAUUUCCCAUUAUGGCUCUUGAUCGAUUAGUCAGUGUGCAAGAACGGAAAGCUGGUGCAACUCCUCUACUGCCUUAGUUGACUGCCAAGUCCUGUUGCCAACUUGUGGUGGUGCAAGGCUUUUGCUGUGGUGGAAGAAGGAAAGAGAAGCAGAAUAGAAAGCUUCUUGUGUGAUUUGUAUCACUGAGUUUGAAGGAAGUAAAGAUGGCAUUUUGUGCAGAUUCUUUUAGCAUCGGAACUUGGCCGAUCAUGAACGACCUUAUGUUCCAGUGCUAGAAAUUGCAGCAGCCAAGUGCGUUAAGAUUCCGCCCGUUCGUGAACGACCAUGUACGUCUCAAAGCAGGAGCAGAUCACAUGAAGGUUGGCCGUUCAUGAACGACCAUGUAUUUCUUGGUAGCUUAAGAGAGACUCAACAAAAGAAAGAAGGUUGUUCGUGAACAGCGUAUCUUUUGUUGACAGCAAGCAUUCUGGACAAUAUAUCUCCCUGUUAAAGAUGACAAGUACAGCAAGGAUGCAUUGUAUACUUGAGCUUCACCUUUGAAUUGUUGACGGAAGGACCUGUUUGGCUCCAAAACCAAUAUGGGUGCAAACUGUCUCUUUUGAGCGUGUGCGCAGGCAUGCCAGCACUGUGGGGUGCAGUCAUCGAAGAAUCCCUUGACCUGACUUCUUGA